rnacentral:tRNA from 2 species
GCCUCAGUAGCUCAGCUCGGUAGAGCAUCUGAUUUGUAAUCAGACGGUCGGGGGUUCAAAUCCCUCCUGAGGCU